rfam:Camelus ferus unplaced genomic scaffold scaffold12865, whole genome shotgun sequence.
GAGGGUAUAGCUCAGUGGUAGAGCAUGUGCUUAGCAUGCACGAGGUCCUGGGUUCAAUCCCCAGUGCUCCCC